GUGCUUGUUUCGGCAGCACAUACGCAGCACAUAUACUAAAACUGGAAUGAUACAGAGAAGAUUAGCAUGGCCCCUGUGCAAGGAUGACUUGCAAAUUCAUGAAGCAUUCCACAUUUUU
rnacentral:snRNA from 1 species